UAUCCGCCCGGGAACUACGAGCGUCAGCUUGAAACCCAAAGGACUUGGCGGUGCUUUAGAUCCACCUAGAGGAGCCUGUUCUAGAACCGAUGAUCCCCGUUAAACCUCACCUUUCCUUGUUCCUUUCCGCCUAUAUACCGCCGUCGUCAGCUUACUCUGUGAAGAAUAAGCAGUAAGCGCAAUCGGCACAGCCCAAAACGCCAGGUCGAGGUGUAGCGAAUGGAAAGGGAAGAAAUGGGCUACAUUCAAUAGUAAUAAUGCACACGGAUGGUGCUCUGAAAGAGGCACCUGAAGGAGGAUUUAGAAGUAAGCCGGGAAUAGAGUGCCCUGCUGAAACUGGCCCUGAAGCGCGUACACACCGCCCGUCACUCUCCCCGAAAAAAACACCAACCAUUUCUAAUAAACCAAAAUAAUAGAGGGGAGGCAAGUCGUAACAUGGUAAGUGUACCGGAAGGUGCACUUGGAUAAAAUCCAGAGCAUAGCUAAACAACGUAUAGCAUCUCCCUUACACUGAGAAGGUAUCCGUGCAACCCGGAUUGCCCUGACACCCAGCAGCUAGCCCCCAACCCCCUUAAAAAUAACAAACCCUAUCAACUAAAUCUAAAUUACCCGACGCAAAACCAAACAAACCAUUUUUCCCCCCUAGUAUGGGAGACAGAAAAGGAAACACUUGGCGCAAUAAAGAAAGUACCGCAAGGGAAAGCUGAAAGAGAAAUG
rnacentral:rRNA from 1 species